rnacentral:lncRNA from 1 species
GCUGUUAACUAAAUUGGCAAUGAAACCUAAAAGGUUUCACAAUCUCAAAUACACAAUAAAAAACAACCCAUAUAGCAGAUUUAAGUUGGUAUACUUCAAUACCUUUUUAUUUCUUAAAGAAAAGCCAAUGGUCCCAUGUAGAUUGUGUGUAUCAACAGGGAAACCAUCUGUUAAAUGAAAUGCAUUAGAUGUCCAUAUGGGAAACAUUGAAUUUAUAGAUGACAUAGUGGGUUGGAAGCUUGAUCCAUCAAAAUGAAAAAAAAAAAAAGAAAAAAAAAGAAAGACAGACAACUUUGUUAUUUUCUCUAAUUUGGUCACUCAAGUUUAAAAACCAUUAAGUAUUCGAUCUUAGAAAAAUGAUGACCCAGGUUAAUAUGAUACAAAUUUAUAGCCACUUAAUUACAUUGUAUCCACCACAUAUAAUUUUAACUUUAGAUAAUUACAACUCACAAGUUACUAAACCUUAAUUUCAUUAAAAAUGAAUGUGAGUAAUAUAACACAAGUCCAAAUAGUUUAAUAAUAAUAAUUACAUAAAUAAGAAAAGCCACAAAUAAGAAAACCAGAAAUCCAAUUUUAUCAUCACAUACUUUCUUAAAUUUUUUUUAUAGAAAAAGGAGAUAAGAAUACAUGGAAGGAGUUGUCUCACCCAAAAGAUAGAAUACUUACCAUUCGUAAUAUAAGAACCAUGUCGUUUGUCAUAUUCUUUAAUAGUGCCAUCAUUGGAAAAUCAUGGAGGAGAUCUCGACUAAAACAACCACUAUAAUUAACACAAUAAAUACGAUAGAUUAAUGUCAGUGGAUGUAAAUUUCAAGUAAAUAAGGGAUUAAAAAGGACCAAUCACCAUGAAUUCAUUGUUUUUUUUAUCACAUAUAUAAUAAUAAUAAUACUAUCACUUACAUCACACUCUUAAAAGUUGAAACAUCGGUAAUGGCCAAACCUUCUCUUCCUGUAAAAAGACAAAUAAACCAAACUUAAAUACAAAAUUAAUUGCCAUCCCAAACUACUAUGGUAUUCUAGGUUAAAACCAAACACCAAAGGAGGCAAAGAUAACAUUUUGUGAUAACAUACACAUCAAAGUUUUCAUUUGGUCAAAUCAUCGAACAAUUGGCGUGUCUUAUGAAAUAGUUGUAACUUAAAACAAAGAGAUAUUAUGUUACCUUUUUAGUAGAAGAAUCAACAUCGAUACCACAAGCAACCAAAGUCUUAAACCCAAUAGUGGAGAUCGAUGGCAAUGCCUUGAUGCUGUGGCGACAACGAUAGGGGUAAUCGACCUUAUUCUUCCUCCAAUAGUUAUUGCUUAUCAAACCUAAAAUUAGCCUCGACAAUAAACGCAUAAAUCUCGGUAAUCAAUAGCUGAUAUAGCGAGACUUUUAUACAUGAAUGUGAUUCUACCGUGAAGUAAAUCGAAGAAAUUGCUGAAAAUCAGGAACAAAAUCAAGAUUGAGUUAAGAGUAUUGAAUAGUCCGGAUUUAAUUUAAAGGAGUAGAAGGGUAAAUCUGGAAUUUAACUUUGCAUGAAAUGAGUGUUUU